rnacentral:rRNA from 1 species
CGCCUAACACAUGCAAGUCGAACGCAGUAGCAAUACUGAGUGGCAAACGGGUGAGUAUAAUGUGGGAAUCUGCCUUUUGGUUUGGAAUAACACGGGGAAACUUGUGCUAAUACCGAAUAAGCCCUUACGGGGAAAGUUUUAACGCCGAAAGAUGAGCCUGCACUUGAUUAGCUAGUUGGUAAGGUAAAGGCUUACCAAGGCUACGAUCAAUAGCUGUUCUUAGAGGAAGACCAGCCACAUUGGGACUGAGACACGGCCCAGACUCCUACGGGAGGCAGCAGUGGGGAAUCUUGCACAAUGGGGGAAACCCUGAUGCAGCGAUGCCGCGUGAGUGAAGAAGGCCCUUGGGUUGUAAAACUCUUUCGUCGGGGAAGAAAAUGACUGUACCCGAAUAAGAAGGUCCGGCUAACUUCGUGCCAGCAGCCGCGGUAAUACGAAGGGACCUAGCGUAGUUCGGAAUUACUGGGCUUAAAGAGCUCGUAGGUGGUUAAAAAAGUUGAUGGUGAAAUCCCAAGGCUCAACCUUGGAACUGCCAUCAAAACUUUUUAGCUAGAGUGUGAUAGAGGUAAGUGGAAUUUCUAGUGUAGAGGUGAAAUUCGUAGAUAUUAGAAAGAACACCAAAAGCGAAGGCAACUUACUGGGUCACUACUGACACUGAGGAGCGAAAGCAUGGGUAGCGAAGAGGAUUAGAUACCCUCGUAGUCCAUGCCGUAAACGAUGUGUGCUAGACGUUGGAAAUAUAUUUUUCAGUGUCGCAGCGAAAGCAUUAAGCACACCGCCUGGGGAGUACGACC